GUUGGGACCCGAAAGAUGGUGAACUAUGCCUGAGCAGGGUGAAGCCAGAGGAAACUCUGGUGGAGGCUCGCAGCGGUUCUGACGUGCAAAUCGAUCGUCAAAUUUGGGUAUAGGGGCGAAAGACUAAUCGAACCAUCUAGUAGCUGGUUCCCUCCGAAGUUUCCCCCAGGAUAGCUGGAGCUUGAUUCAGUUUCGUCAGGUAAAGCGAAUGAUUAGAGGUUCGGGGGAUGAAACAUCCUUCACCUAUUCUCAAACUUUAAAUAGGCGAGACGCGUAGGUUGCUUAAUUGAACCUGCGCAAUCAAUGUGAGCUCCAAGUGGGCCAUUUUUGGUAAGCAGAACUGGCGAUGCGGGAUGAACCGAACGCGAGGUUAAGGUGCCGGAAUACACGCUCAUCAGACA
rnacentral:rRNA from 12 species